rnacentral:rRNA from 2 species
GGUCGACGAUUAACGCGAAGAACCUUACCAGGUCUUGACAUCGAGGCAAAGCCGUAGAGAUACGGUGUUCAGCAAUGAAGCCGAAGACAGGUGGUGCAUGGUUGUCGUCAGCUCGUGUCGUGAGAUGUUGGGUUAAGUCCCGCAACGAGCGCAACCCUUAUGGUCAGUUACUAACGGGUAAAGCCGAGGACUCUGACGAGACUGCCGGGGACAACUCGGAGGAAGGUGGGGACGACGUCAAAUCAUCAUGCCCCUUAUGACCUGGGCUACACACGUGCUACAAUGGUGGCAACAAAGAGACGCGAGCCCGCAAGGUGGAGCGAAUCUCAUAAAAGCCAUCUCAGUUCGGAUUGUGGGCUGCAACCCGCCCACAUGAAGUUGGAGUUGCUAGUAAUCGCGGAUCAGCAUGCCGCGGUGAAUACGUUCCCGGGUCUUGUACACACCG